rnacentral:rRNA from 1 species
UACGUAGGGGGCAAGCGUUUGUCCGGAAUCACUGGGCGUAAAGGGUGCGUAGGCGGGUCUUUAAGUCAGGGGUGAAAUCCUGGAGCUCAACUCCAGAACUGCCUUUGAUACUGAAGAUCUUGAGUUCGGGAGAGGUGAGUGGAACUGCGAGUGUAGAGGUGAAAUUCGUAGAUAUUCGCAAGAACACCAGUGGCGAAGGCGGCUCACUGGCCCGAUACUGACGCUGAGGCACGAAAGCGUGGGGAGCAAACAGG